rnacentral:rRNA from 1 species
GACGAACGCUGGCGGCGUGCUUAACACAUGCAAGUCGAACGAAGUGGCGAACGGGCGAGCAACGCGUAAUCAACCUGCCAUUCAGAGGGGGACAACAGGUGGAAACGACUGAUAAUACCGCAUUCGGUAGGAGGGGCUUGCGUCUGAUUAGCAGGUUGGAGGGGUAACGGCCCACCAGGGCGAAGAUCAGUAGCCGGUCUGAGAGGGUGAACAGCCACAAUGGGACUGGGACACGGCCCAGACUCCUACGGGGGGCAGCAGGUGGGAAUCUUCCGCAAUGGACGAAAGGCUGACGGAGCAACGCCGCGUGAGUGAUGACGGCCUUCGGGUUGUAAAGCUCUGUUAAUCGGGACGCGGUACCGGAAUAGAAAGCCACGGCUAACUACGUGCCAGCCGCCGCGGUAAUAC